AACAUAUACGUAAAAGCGAUCGUUAUCACUGACAGAUAGUAGCACAAUGGUAUAUGACUGGGAGUCCCGACUGGUGAACUCAGGUUCGAGCCCGGGUCUUCACUUACUCUUUUAAAUAUUUUUUCCUUCCCGGAAGUGACGUCAUCACCGGAAACCUAUUUAAGCGGCGACAAAUAGGCAAUCAUUCUUUCUCACCUUCGACAGCCUCCGCUCGUCCACACACUGCUCCUGCUCCGCACGCCUGUCCACAAGAUCACGCAGAACUCCAACAAGGAAAGCUACGUUCGACCAGAGGGCUUUGCAUCUUCUACAGAAUGGCCAAAUUGACUGCAACAAGGCUCACCUCGACAGAAUGACCCUUAAAAUGGCUGCCAUCCUGUGGCGUUUUGGGCCCUGGCUUCACAAGACUCGAGCAGAUCUUUUACAUGUCUUCCAAAUAUCUGUGUGCUAAGACACGCUUGGAAGGUUGAAUAUUUAAAAGUCAAGAGCUAACGUUACCGUGUCUUUCAGGCCACCGUGCUGUCGAAGAAGCGUCCAGCUCUGCUCUCUUCACAAGUAAAGCAAACAUUUUCCCACAGGUGCACAUGUGAGAGUACUCUUAAUUAAAUCAGCAGGUGAUUGACUAAAGAUUGAGCACAGGUGUCAAAUCCAGAAAUUUGAAAAGUUUGGUUUAACCACAGGACCUCCAACUCAACCAGCUCCUCUGGUUGAGUAGGCGCACCUGUGGCUAAAAUCAAACGGUGGUGGUGCUCUUUUCUGGCUCUCUCACACACUGAGACAAAUGAUCAGAUUCGCUGUCUGGCUUCCGCCGACCUUGCUGAUGAUCUGAUCAUUUGAAUCAGGUGUUGCACCAGGGGGAAAUGGGGGAGGGGAAAAGGGCGGGAGAGUGGCCCCAACACAUUUCCUCAACAAGUGCGUUUGUCCUGCUCUCAUCCACCAGGU